UACGUAGGUGGCAAGCGUUGUCCGGAUUUACUGGGCGUAAAGAGCGUGCAGGCGGUCGUGCAAGUCGCGUGUGAAAGCCCCCGGCUCAACUGGGGAGGGUCACGCGAUACUGCUCGAAUCGAAGGCAGGAGAGGGAAGUGGAAUUCCCGGUGUAGUGGUGAAAUGCGUAGAUAUCGGGAGGAACACCAGUGGCGAAGGCGACUUCCUGGCCUGUUCUUGACGCUGAGGCGCGAAAGCUAGGGUAGGAAACGGG
rnacentral:rRNA from 1 species